rnacentral:tRNA from 1 species
GCCCUCGUAGUGUAGUGGUUAUCACGUCUGCUUUACACGCAGAAGGUCCUCAGUUCGAACCUGAGCGGGGGCA